AUUGAACGCUGGCGGCGUGCUUAACACAUGCAAGUCGAGCGGUAACAGGCGUAGCAAUACGUGCUGACGAGCGGCGAACGGGUGCGUAAUACAUCGGAAUCUGCCUAGUAGUGGGGAAUAACCCGGCGAAAGCCGGGCUAAUGCCGCAUACGAUCCACGGAUGAAAGCGGGGGACGUUUCGGUCCGUCGCGCUAUUAGUAUGAG
rnacentral:rRNA from 1 species